rnacentral:tRNA from 1 species
UGCACGGAGUGGGGUUCGAACCCACGCGGUCUGAGACCAGAGGAUCUUAAGUCCCCCUCCUUAACCACUCGGACAUCCGUGC